GACGAACGCUGGCGGCGUGCUUAACACAUGCAAGUCGAACGGAAAGGCCCUGCUUUUGUGGGGUGCUCGAGUGGCGAACGGGUGAGUACACGUGAGUAACCUGCCCUUGACUUUGGGAUAACUUCAGGAAACUGGGGCUAAUACCGGAUAGGAGCUCCUGCUGCAUGGUGGGGGUUGGAAAGUUUCGGCGGUUGGGGAUGGACUCGCAGCUUAUCAGCUUGUUGGUGGGGUAGUGGCUUACCAAGGCUUUGACGGGUAGCCGGCCUGAGAGGGUGACCGGCCACAUUGGGACUGAGAUACGGCCCAGACUCCUACGGGAGGCAGCAGUGGGGAAUAUUGCACAAUGGGCGGAAGCCUGAUGCAGCAACGCCGCGUGCGGGAUGACGGCCUUCGGGUUGUAAACCGCUUUCGCCUGUGACGAAGCGUGAGUGACGGUAAUGGGUAAAGAAGCACCGGCUAACUACGUG
rnacentral:rRNA from 1 species